UGAUUAUCGUUUUUGACAUAUCACCUGAUUCUUGUAAUGUUUAUGUUCUCUUACACAUCUCGUGUUCUAGUGAUCGUGCAGGCUUGGUAUUGCAGGUGUUUAGAAGUGUAAUUAAAUUAAGUUUUGAGUUAAUAUUAAUUAUUAUUUAUUGUCAAACAUGUGCUGGUAAAUUUCUCUGUAGUUCAAUAACUAAAUUAAGUUUUGAGUUUAUAUUUAUGCUUAUUUAUUGUCAAAUAUGUGCCGGUAAAUUUCUCUGUUGUUCAAUAAAUUCCAAUAAAAACAAAGUGUAGUGAGUAAAGUGAGAUAAGUUUGUUGUGCAAGUCGUUGCCUGUAGAUUCCUGUUGAUUGUCAGGUGUUUUUGUUAAAUGCACUCGCGAUUGCGGCGCAGUGCAUAUGUCUAACUGUAAUAUACAUACAUACAUAUGUAUGCACAUUCAAGCACUUACGAUGUGCUGGGCAUUGUGGGAGCUCGAGCAAAAGCAUGGUUUUAAAAAUUAAUUGGCCUGUGUCGAAUGCCGGAACUUCCUAAUGCCAAAUCAUGAACUGGACUUAAAAGCUGAAGCUAUACAUCUAUUACAUAUACGAGGUGUAUGAAAAGGAAAAGAACUUCCUUUUGCGGAAAGUCUUACGUAAAUUUUCGCAUCCAUUACCGCAACGAAAGUAAAAGUUUUCACGUCAAUCACGACAAGCAGAAGUAGCGGCUACACGCAUGUUGUAUUUAAAACAAAAAUGCGUUUGUAAAUGACAUGGCAAAAAGAAAGAGGAAGCAGCAUAAAAAAAAGUACGAAAAAUUGGAGUAACUGUCACCAAAUGGAAUUUCGCUGCCACUGACAGUUCAAAUGAUCCAUGCAUGUCACGUACUUAGUUCGGCGUUGUAAUUUAUGGACCCUCGUAUGCCGGAACAAGUUGUUGCAGAUUUUUGGUGGCUCAUUAAAUGGAACAUACAGAUGAAAACCGCAACCCUUACAUAUUAGAAGAGCUAAACAAUGCCUGCUUAAUUAAGAGAGCGAGGGAGAAGUGCUAUGUGAAGCUUGAAUUUUACUGAACCAUUCAAGGUCGUUUAGAAUAUGAACACGCUUUCUUUUAGGUCAUAAAUGCUUAAGCAAAUGUGAGCAAUAAACCGGUUUUAAGAAUAACAAAAAAAAAAACACAGGGAGAAGCACGAGCGAUAUCGUAAAAAAUCACCACAAAACGAAAAAUUAUGUAAUCCAAUUAUUUACAGGCAAUUAAAACGAUUAUCCGAUAAUACCAAACACAGAUGUUCAAUAAGCGAGGAAGAGGAAGAGGAAAAGAGAGAACAAAGAACUCGAAUGUAGAUUGUGCUGACAUGUGAUGUGAUAACGGAAGUGGCAAUUUAAUCAGUUCAACAACACAAAACACUUGACGGCACUUCAAAAUGUAUUAUCUGAUCUGGAGUAGGAGUAACGAAGAUGAAGCGGUUAAUCGCUCAAGAGAGCGCGGAGAGCAAUCGUUACGAAUCACAUUAAGCGUUAAACCGUUAUGAUGGGAACUGAUUAACAUGAUAAUAAAACUGAGCAAAUUGUAACAGUUGCAAUCAGUCAAGGAUGCGAAAGGGUGCUUUACUGGUUGGAAUUUUCACGAUCUACUUCGCAUUUUGAAUGAGCGCACAUGGAAUAAUAUAAUAACUAAAAGGGGAGGCAGUAAGAGGCAGAAAAUAACGGAGGAAAAAAACAUAAAAAAAUGUAAUGCGAAAAAUAACCAACAAAAAAAAAAAAGCGGGCAAGGACAGCAGUAAUGUUGGCAUGCAACACAUGAAAUAUGAAUUUGAGCACAAACUCUUCUCGUACAUAACCUACAUAAACGUCAUUCGGCUGGCAAGCACGACAAUGAAUGCAAUGAUCCGAAGUCAACGAAUGUCCGCAAAUUGCUGAACAAAUAGUGAUGAGCAUUAUAUACAAACUUACAACAACAGCAAACAGAGUUAUAAAUGAAGCAUAAAGCAAAAAGAAAUGAGAAUAAAAAUCGAAUUACAAACUAAAACAACAAACAACCACCUCAAUUGCAAUUUCAAGUGUCAUUCUUCAUUCUGUAUGCACAGAGAAGGGCGGAAUGGCCAUCGCUGCUGAUGAUAAUGACGUUGACUUUUGAUCAUUAUCUGGCUGGCAGCAGUUGAUAUGCAAUAUUUAUGUGCAUACAUAAGUAUGUGGCUUGACUAUAUACAAUGCGCGGUGCAGUCGGAAGACAGGAGGAUAGAAGCAAUUUCGAAUUUUCAACGGUUAUGCAAUUUUGUGGUUGAUAGCAGCAAUGUGCACAUAUUGAGUUUACCUACAUAUACAUAAACUUAUGUACGAAUAUAAUUAUGUAGGACAAACAUUUUAGCAUGGUAGGGGCGAUGGUGUGCGGGGAACAAUUUUGUUGCAAAGUGUUAAAAAAGAAUAUGAGAGAUUAAUUAUAACUUAUGAUGAGUAAAUGAAACCAGGAUGACAUACAAUA